rnacentral:rRNA from 1 species
GGCGAACGCUGGCGGCGUGCUUAACACAUGCAAGUCGAACGGCAGGGCCCUGCUUUUGUGGGGUGCUCGAGUGGCGAACGGGUGCGUAACACGUGAGUAACCUGCCCUUGACUUUGGGAUAACUUCAGGAAACUGGGGCUAAUACCGGAUAGGAGCCCCUGCUGCAUGGAGGGGGUUGGAAAUUUUCGGCGGUUGGGGAUGGACUCGCGGCUUAUCAGCUUGUUGGUGGGGUAGUGGCUUCCCAAGGCUGUGACGGGUAGCCGGCCUGAGAGGGUGACCGGCGACAUGGGGACUGAGAUACGGCCCAGACGCCUACGGGAGGCAGCAGUGGGGAAUAUGGCACAAUGGGCGGAAGCCGGAUGCAGCAACGCCGCGUGCGGGAUGACGGCCUUCGGGUUGUAAACCGCUUUCGCCUGUGACGAAGCGUGAGUGACGGUAAUGGGUAAAGAAGCACCGGCUAACUACGUG